AUGGCGGAGGAACCGUUUGCCAAGCGUCAUCAUGGCGAGCCGUCGGACAAGAAAAGCAACCUUGUCGAUGUUCACGUCCCCGGCGAGAAGCGCGAGUACACAAGUACCCUCACAGGGGUUGAGCUCCACGGCAAGGAGACGCUGGAGAUCGUCUGCACCAGCAAACCAGACAAGGCUGACCAGGUGAUGAGCAGGCUCGGGAUGAAGGGCGGCGGCUUGUAUCCGAGCUUCAUCGGAGUUGAUGUGGAGUUCACCAGGGAUGAUGAACCUCCACAGAUGGCGGCAGUCCUGCAGUUGGGCAUCGAGGAACUCUGCUUGGUGUACCACAUCGCAACUGCACACAAACCACAAACUUCUCUCUCACAAGCCCACAGCCGCCGGAGGAGGGCGAUGGUGGAGGAACCGUCCACCAAGCGUCAUCAAGACGAGCCGUCGGACAAGAGCAGCAACCUCGUCGACGUUCACGUCCCCAGCGAGAAGCGCGAGUACACCAAAACCCUCAGAGAGGUUGAGCUCCACGGCAAGGAGACGCUGGAGAUCGUCUGCACCAGCGAACCAGACAAGGUCGACGAGAUGAUCUCCAGGCUCUGGAGGAAGGCCGGCGGCAAGAUGCGUAAGAUCAUCGGCGUUGGUGUGCACUACACGAGAGCAGACGAACCUCCCCAGAUGGCAGCAGUCCUAUAG
rnacentral:rRNA from 1 species